ensembl:lncRNA
UUUUGGGUGAAAUGGGGUAAUUUUUGAAGGGAAAUGUAUUAUUUUGGGGCUAAAUGGGAGAUUUCCGAAGAGAAAUUGUGUUUUUAUCAGGUUAAAUGGGGGAUUCUCGAAGAGAAAAUGCAUGACUUUCUGGUUAAAUGGUGGAUUUUCAAAGAGAAGAUGUGUGAUUUUGGUUUACAUGUGAGCUUUUUGUUGAGGAAAUGCGUGAUUUUCAGGUUAAAUGGGGGAUUUUCCAAGAGAAAAUGUGUGAUUUUAGGGUUAAGGGGGUAUUUUUGGAGAGAUAAUGCAAGAUUUGGGGGUAAAUGGGGG